AUGUUCUUUCUGGAACUGACCUCUCUCCUCUCGGCACUUGGGUGGGGACGAGGCUACACGUGGGAAAGAAAUAACCCUGACCCAGUUGGACCCCUGCCUGAGGCCUCCUGGGCCCCAGGGUCUCUGCCCCCCCAAAGCCUUGGGGUUGGAGGGACCUCCUGGCCCCACAGUGAUCACAGCCCCCCGCUGCGAAAGCCCUCAGCACCCUCAGACCCCUUCGGCAGAGCACGGACUGGGCACGGGCGCCCGGCCCUCCACUGGCCUCGGGAGCUCAGCCCCCGCUGGGGUGGGGGUGCUGGAGAAAGCCACCCCAGGCCUGUCCACCCCAGGCCCCAGGGCCCCGCCGUUCGGGGGGCCGGGGCUCAGGCUCUCCCUGGAGACUCUCCCAGAAUGGACUUUUGUCUAGCUGGUCCCGCAGGGAAGCCCAGACCGUACUUGGCCAGGGCAGGGUGGGGGUCGGGGGACGGAGACCCCCGCCCGCCCCCUCUAGGCCUCAGAGCCAGGGCAGCUCCUGUGAGCUGCAGGGAGGAGGCGGCGGCAGGACCGAGGGACACUUCAAAAGUGGGGCUUUGGCGCCCUCUGCUGGUCGUGUCUGCAAACGGCCGCCCUGUCCCCCUUCCUGGCACAGGCAGGUGCCCCUCCCUGAAGGCGCCGCGCAGGGGCCCGAGCGGGCGGGGUCCCAGGCCAGGCUCCCCAAGAGGGGACGCGCGUGUCUCCCCUCGCGGCCCGGAGGGACACAGACGCUGCCCAGGGCUCCGCCGGGGCUCCGCCGGGGGGGCCUUUCCAAGAGCUCAGGCCACCGGUUCCUGGUCUCGCUCCCUCUCCGGGGCUGGCCCCCUCCAGGCAGCAGGCCCCCAAGGGCAGGGCACCCACCCUGGCAUCCCUGCAUCUGCCUCCCUUGCCCCUCAGGGUCUGCUCUGGCCUGGAGAGCAGCGAGGACGGUCAAUAUUUACUGACACGACAAGGCAAAUACUGCCCCAAUGGCCAGGCGGAAGUGCCAGUUUAUCGGUGCCAGGGGCAGGUGCAAUCUGGGGAGCCAGCCUGGAGGCAGCUGCACUGGCAGCACGUCCUCUGUGUGUGGGCACCGAGGGACAGACAUCCUGGCUCCAGCCUCAGUCUCCCCCUUGA
rnacentral:lncRNA from 1 species